rnacentral:misc_RNA from 1 species
UCUCCGUUGGUGAACCAGCGGAGGGAUCAUUAAAAGGCGAGUCUCGCGACUCUCAAACCCUAUGUGAACUUAUUCAUGUCUGAGCUGCUUCGGCAGGGCGUUUCGAAAGAAGCACCUGCCGGCCGGCUCGCCAACCAAACUCUUUGUUAAUCUAUGGACCUCUGAGUUAAAAACAAAAUUUAUUAAAACUUUCAACAACGGAUCUCUUGGUUCUGGCAUCGAUGAAGAACGCAGC